GCCUUUGUGGUGUAAUUGGAAGCAUACCCGACUUGUAUUCGGGAGGCCCAGGUUCGAGUCCCGACGAAGGCA
rnacentral:tRNA from 1 species